rnacentral:SRP_RNA from 1 species
GCUGGGCGUGGUGGUGGGCGCCUGUAAUCCUAGUUACCCAGGAGGCUGAGGCAGGAGAAUUGCUUGAACCCAGGAGGCAGAGGUUGCAGUGAGCCGAGAUCAUGCCACUGCACUCCAGCCUGAGUGACACAGCGAGACUCUGUCUCAA